rnacentral:rRNA from 1 species
GACGUAGGGGCCAGCGUUGGUUCGGAAUUACUGGGUGUAAAGGGUUCGUAGGCGGUGCGGCAAGUCGGGGGUGAAAGCCUGUGGCUCAACCACAGAAUUGCCUUCGAUACUGUUAGGCUUGAGACCGGAAGAGGUAAGUGGAACUGCGAGUGUAGAGGUGAAAUUCGUAGAUAUUCGCAAGAACACCAGUGGCGAAGGCGGCUUACUGGUCCGGUUCUGACGCUGAGGCGCGAAAGCGUGGGGAGCAAACAGG